UGUGUGUGUGUGUGUGUGUGUGUGUGUGUGUGUGUGUGUGACAGUAUACGUGCAUACGUAUAUAUUUAUGUAUACAGUGUGUUCCCGAAUUAAAUGAUCAAACUUGAAAUAUAUGAAUUUAUAUCAAAUACCUAGAUAGAAAUGCGCGAUGAUUAUAUUUCGUCACAAUGUGACUUCAUACUAUGAUUUCAAUUUGAUACUUUUUUAAAGAUCAUUAUGUGAUUUCAGGACAUGAGUACGAGAUGCACAUAAAUGAUGUACAAUUUAUUAUUUUCGUGACAUCAUGACAUGAACUAUAUCUGAGCUACAUAUGAACCCGCAUUGAUAUAUAUUUUUGUCCUCAUACUUUGAAGAUAUAUGGUACAACAUGAGCUCAAAAUGAACACAUUUUUCUAUCUGGGUAUAUAUAAAUUUAGGAUCUUAAAACUAAAAAUUUUCCUUUGGAUGUAAAUUCGCAAAUGCUUCAUUCAAAAAAUAUUGAUUUUUAAAUUACAGAACUAUAGAAAUGAAUAAUGUAUUUAGGUAAUCUAGAUUUAUCCUCUUUAUUGCUUUACAAUAAUCAAAAUUUAAUGAUUAAAUGUUUUGUUCGAGAUAAAGCCCCCAACUCGAAGACAAGCAUUGCAUUUAUAGAUAAGAGAGCGAGUGGCUAACUAAUAUUGUACGUCUAUAAUUCCUUUGUAUGCUUACACUAUUUUCUAUUUCAAUGAUUAUAAUCAGAUCAUUAACAGACACUUUAUACAAUUUUUUCUUGAAAGCAUCCCAUACAAAAAAUUUAGUGAUGUUAAGGUUUUAAUUUUUGCCGGCCAUAAAAUUAGCCUAUUUUUACGAAUUUUUUAAAGAAAAUCUAUUAUAUAUAGGAAGAUGCGGUUUUUUUCAUGAAAUUGUUUAACAUUUAAACAGCAAAAAAAUAUUUUUUGUUUAUAAAAAGGUGCGUUUUAAUGUCUCCAAAUGGCGAUCGAAUUAGAGGUCAUUGAAAAACCACGCUUCCAUGGUGGAAGUGAUUCAGCCUCUGCAAAUUAUCUGAAACCAAAAAUCCGACGAUUUUUAUUAAUUAUAUGAGUGUCGCCAUGGCUGGUACUAGAAUGAAGUCGAUUGCAUAGAAUUUAUAAAAAAUACGGCAUUUAAAAAAAGUUUGAUUUUUCCCCAAAAAAUCUGUUACUUUUUUGCUUAUAAAAAAUCGAAUUUUUGUUUUAAAAACUUAAUUUUAAUAUCAGACAUGUGCAAAAGUGUUAGGAUCAAGAAAAAAAACCGCAAAAGGUUAUCUUUAUUAGUUUUUAUUGGUUUAUUAGUUAUCACUUCCACCAGCUUGAAAAACAUGGUUUCAAGAAAAACGCGUUUAAAGUUUUAGUUUGACUUUUUUUAUAUAUAACAAAAUUUUUAGCGUUAUUUACGGUUAUUCUGCAAUGCCAGGCGCAUACAAUUAACCCCCCUGCUUCUUCAAAAAAAUCAUUUUCUGCCAGUUUCUCUAAUCGCCAUGCUGUUCUGGCUUCUUUUGAAGAACUUGAUGUGCGAAGAUUAGCUAGCCUCACGCGUUGUCUGUCUUUCAUUGGCACACAGCUUCGCAGUUAUUCCAAUACGGAUUCCCAAUAUGUUCAUUAUUUUCAAUAAACUUUUAAAUCCGUCAUUGAAUGUACAGGUUGUCAAAAAAUGCUGCGACAGAUAUAAUUUUUGCAUCAGAAAAGAUAUGUUUCGGCGCGAAGUGUCACAGAACUCUGUUAUAACUCUCGUUAUUAUUUUAUGUAUGUUCCCCGAGACAUCGCGUUAACAAAUUAUUAUCAGAUAAGUCUUCAUAAAUUUUAUAAAUGGCAGUUUGAAAGCCAAAGAUGGAUCGUAAUGAUAAUUUUGAAGUGUGCCGUUAGUCUCCGCGACGCGCCAGCUACACCAAGAAUUUGACCCUGGAGGACAUUGAGAAUUCAUGGGCUCUUCAUCAGUUGAUAUUUUAUGAUAAUAUAUCGCCCAUACUGCAUUUUUCAUAUCCUACAAGGACUCUGUAUUUCGUCGUAUUGCUAAUCCAUAAUAAAUAGUGAGAUCUUUAAUUAAUUUUUCUGUUAAUUUUCCUGCUUCCUUGCCACCAAUACCUUUGUGCGAUUUUUUGGCAUUUCUCAAUCUACUCCUUAUUUUUAAACGUGUGCAAUACAUUCUUUUUUUUUACCGAUAAUUCUCAUAUGGGUUUUCAUUGACUAAACUUUUAAAAGUUUUGUUAUCUCCAUCACCUAUAUAAUUUUCGUACAUAACGCCGUGUAAAUCUUUUGAACAUUGGAACAUUUCAAUAAUGCCGUCGACUUCCAUUUUUCCAACGCUUCCUAAAUGAUUGAUCGUGCAGUUUUCUUCGUGUUCUUCUUGCCACAAUAAAUCUUUUAUAGAAUCAUCAUGUUUUCGAAGUGAACAUGCUUUACAAAAGCUAGAUUUAAUCACAUCUAGUACCUUGUUUGUGUACUUUCCGAUGAGUAAUAACACCAAAUAAGGACGAGAAGCCUUUUUUGCUUCAUGUACCAUCACCAAAUAUAGUUAAAUGUAACGGUUUGUUUCCUGCUUUUGUAUUUUCAUCGGUUUUUUCUUUUGCGGCGUUUUUCAAACUAAGAUCGUGCACAGGUUGCGCGGCUGUGUAAAUAUUAUUCAUAGCAGUAUAGUACAUACGUGUAGUAAAGCCGUUACAUAAAUCCAUUAAACCACAAAAUAUAUUUAAGCCACUCAGGCCAAUGCCCAAAAUGCUUAACACAAACACUAUGCGUCGAUUAGUUUCAAACAAUCGAUUGUUAAUAAAAGGACAAGACUCAAUGCUUUCUGUUUUGCAGCUAUACUCAACGUCUAAUUUAAAUCCUAAUCCCAUUUCUCCACUCUUACUGAUACGAAUAAGUGGGAUCAGAGGGGUGUCGUGUAUUACGAGCCGCUGAAACCGUCGGAAACUAUCACUGGGGAUCAUUAUCGACUGCAACUGAUCCUUUUGAAGUGAGCUCUGCACGAGAAGAGGCCGGAAUGGAAGAAUCACCAUGACAAGUUGAUUUUGCAGCAUAACAACUCCAGGCCGCACGUUGCUCAACCAGUCAAGAAGUACUUAGAAGGAGUGAACUGGGAAAUCCUAUCCCACCCAUUAUUUUCCCCAGACAUUGCUCCCUUCGAUUACUAUUUGUUCCGGUUGAUGCAUUCAGCGCUUACGGCACAGCACUUCACCUCGUACGAAGGAGUCAAAAAAUGACUGGAUUGCCUCCAAAAAACCCGAAUUCAUCCUGCGUGGAAUCCGAUUGUUGACCGAAAGAUGGGCCAAGGUUGUUUGUUCCGAUGGAUGCUUGCACUACUUCAGUUCCUGCGAAAGGUUACAGACCCAUACGGUAAAUUAUCGAGAAAUGAACAACUGCGCUAUCCUGCUGCCCAGCGAAGAUAAUAAAUUACUAAAUUUUAGCAACUACAACAAGAAAGAGCGACUUCCGUUUGUUGUGUACGUGCAUCUGAAGUGCAUCUUAAAGAAGAUUAUGAGCGAGAAGAAAGAGGAGGAGGAAUGCACAUCGCGUGCAUACCAGCAUCAUAGGGUACUUAGUAUAGCAUAUUACACGUGUUGUUCGUAUGAUGAUUCUUUAUCCGCAUAUCGAUAUCGUCGAUAAUAACUGCAUCAUUCGUGACUGCAUAGUUCGUCGAGGAACUCAAAGAAUUAGCUCACUGCGUAAAAGCUGUUCUAUUCACCAAUGUUCUGUUACGUCCCGUACCUUCAUUCAGAAUGCAUUUCGUAAAAUUAACCACUCAUCCGAUAGAAUUUUGAAAUAAUUAAGUAAAUAAGAAGGGCUUGAAUUUUGAGUCAUAACUUCGAGUCACCUUACAAAACACUUGUACAAAUAUAGCCCUGAAUCACGUCGCCCACACUGCACAUGACCAUAAAUCACCGAAAUCUUCUUCUAUCAUGUAACCCAAUCGAACAUUCUCAAAUUUUCCAUGAUUUCCUCCAAUCCAAGCUACUAUCCUCACUUCAGGUACGUCAUCUCCGACUAAUCCGGUAAUAGUUAUUCCCGAACUUCCUAAUUUUAAAACCUAUCCAUCUAUAGGCAAUAUACUUUGAUUUCUUCUUGCGUUUAUACACCUACACGCAUACUCACACAUUCACACACUUGUAGCCCAUAAUUUUGUUAUUGUAACCUUCCUAAUUAUAACGAGCCGCGAUGAAUAAAUUUGUGUUUACUGAUUAA